rnacentral:rRNA from 2 species
AGGUGAUAUGAACCGUUAUAACCGGCGAUUUCCGAAUGGGGAAACCCAGUGUGUUUCGACACACUAUCAUUAACUGAAUCCAUAGGUUAAUGAGGCGAACCGGGGGAACUGAAACAUCUAAGUACCCCGAGGAAAAGAAAUCAACCGAGAUUCCCCCAGUAGCGGCGAGCGAACGGGGAGGAGCCCAGAGCCUGAAUCAGUGUGUGUGUUAGUGGAAGCGUCUGGAAAGGCGCGCGAUACAGGGUGACAGCCCCGUACACAAAAAUGCACAUAUUGUGAGCUCGAUGAGUAGGGCGGGACACGUGGUAUCCUGUCUGAAUAUGGGGGGACCAUCCUCCAAGGCUAAAUACUCCUGACUGACCGAUAGUGAACCAGUACCGUGAGGGAAAGGCGAAAAGAACCCCGGCGAGGGGAGUGAAAAAGAACCUGAAACCGUGUACGUACAAGCAGUGGGAGCCUCUUUAUGGGGUGACUGCGUACCUUUUGUAUAAUGGGUCAGCGACUUAUAUUCUGUAGCAAGGUUAACCGAAUAGGGGAGCCGAAGGGAAACCGAGUCUUAACUGGGCGUUAAGUUGCAGGGUAUAGACCCGAAACCCGGUGAUCUAGCCAUGGGCAGGUUGAAGGUUGGGUAACACUAACUGGAGGACCGAACCGACUAAUGUUGAAAAAUUAGCGGAUGACUUGUGGCUGGGGGUGAAAGGCCAAUCAAACCGGGAGAUAGCUGGUUCUCCCCGAAAGCUAUUUAGGUAGCGCCUCGUGAAUUCAUCUCCGGGGGUAGAGCACUGUUUCGGCAAGGGGGUCAUCCCGACUUACCAACCCGAUGCAAACUGCGAAUACCGGAGAAUGUUAUCACGGGAGACACACGGCGGGUGCUAACGUCCGUCGUGAAGAGGGAAACAACCCAGACCGCCAGCUAAGGUCCCAAAGUCAUGGUUAAGUGGGAAACGAUGUGGGAAGGCCCAGACAGCCAGGAUGUUGGCUUAGAAGCAGCCAUCAUUUAAAGAAAGCGUAAUAGCUCACUGGUCGAGUCGGCCUGCGCGGAAGAUGUAACGGGGCUAAACCAUGCACCGAAGCUGCGGCAGCGACACUAUGUGUUGUUGGGUAGGGGAGCGUUCUGUAAGCCUGUGAAGGUGGCCUGUGAGGGUUGCUGGAGGUAUCAGAAGUGCGAAUGCUGACAUAAGUAACGAUAAAGCGGGUGAAAAGCCCGCUCGCCGGAAGACCAAGGGUUCCUGUCCAACGUUAAUCGGGGCAGGGUGAGUCGACCCCUAAGGCGAGGCCGAAAGGCGUAGUCGAUGGGAAACAGGUUAAUAUUCCUGUACUUGGUGUUACUGCGAAGGGGGGACGGAGAAGGCUAUGUUGGCCGGGCGACGGUUGUCCCGGUUUAAGCGUGUAGGCUGGUUUUCCAGGCAAAUCCGGAAAACCAAGGCUGAGGCGUGAUGACGAGGCACUACGGUGCUGAAGCGACAAAUGCCCUGCUUCCAGGAAAAGCCUCUAAGCAUCAGGUAACAUCAAAUCGUACCCCAAACCGACACAGGUGGUCAGGUAGAGAAUACCAAGGCGCUUGAGAGAACUCGGGUGAAGGAACUAGGCAAAAUGGUGCCGUAACUUCGGGAGAAGGCACGCUGAUAUGUAGGUGAAGCGACUUGCUCGUGGAGCUGAAAUCAGUCGAAGAUACCAGCUGGCUGCAACUGUUUAUUAAAAACACAGCACUGUGCAAACACGAAAGUGGACGUAUACGGUGUGACGCCUGCCCGGUGCCGGAAGGUUAAUUGAUGGGGUUAGCGGUAACGCGAAGCUCUUGAUCGAAGCCCCGGUAAACGGCGGCCGUAACUAUAACGGUCCUAAGGUAGCGAAAUUCCUUGUCGGGUAAGUUCCGACCUGCACGAAUGGCGUAAUGAUGGCCAGGCUGUCUCCACCCGAGACUCAGUGAAAUUGAACUCGCUGUGAAGAUGCAGUGUACCCGCGGCAAGACGGAAAGACCCCGUGAACCUUUACUAUAGCUUGACACUGAACAUUGAGCCUUGAUGUGUAGGAUAGGUGGGAGGCUUUGAAGUGUGGACGCCAGUCUGCAUGGAGCCGACCUUGAAAUACCACCCUUUAAUGUUUGAUGUUCUAACGUUGGCCCGUAAUCCGGGUUGCGGACAGUGUCUGGUGGGUAGUUUGACUGGGGCGGUCUCCUCCUAAAGAGUAACGGAGGAGCACGAAGGUUGGCUAAUCCUGGUCGGACAUCAGGAGGUUAGUGCAAUGGCAUAAGCCAGCUUGACUGCGAGCGUGACGGCGCGAGCAGGUGCGAAAGCAGGUCAUAGUGAUCCGGUGGUUCUGAAUGGAAGGGCCAUCGCUCAACGGAUAAAAGGUACUCCGGGGAUAACAGGCUGAUACCGCCCAAGAGUUCAUAUCGACGGCGGUGUUUGGCACCUCGAUGUCGGCUCAUCACAUCCUGGGGCUGAAGUAGGUCCCAAGGGUAUGGCUGUUCGCCAUUUAAAGUGGUACGCGAGCUGGGUUUAGAACGUCGUGAGACAGUUCGGUCCCUAUCUGCCGUGGGCGCUGGAGAACUGAGGGGGGCUGCUCCUAGUACGAGAGGACCGGAGUGGACGCAUCACUGGUGUUCGGGUUGUCAUGCCAAUGGCACUGCCCGGUAGCUAAAUGCGGAAGAGAUAAGUGCUGAAAGCAUCUAAGCACGAAACUUGC